ACGCACGCUGGCGGCGUGCUUAACACAUGCAAGUCGAACGGAAAGGCCUCUUUCGGGGGGUACUCGAGUGGCGAACGGGUGAGUAACACGUGAGUAACCUGCCCUUGACUUUGGGAUAACUUCAGGAAACUGGGGCUAAUACCGGAUAGGAGCUCCUGCUGCAUGGUGGGGGUUGGAAAGUUUCGGCGGUUGGGGAUGGACUCGCGGCUUAUCAGCUUGUUGGUGGGGUAGUGGCUUACCAAGGCUUUGACGGGUAGCCGGCCUGAGAGGGUGACCGGCCACAUUGGGACUGAGAUACGGCCCAGACUCCUACGGGAGGCAGCAGUGGGGAAUAUUGCACAAUGGGUGGAAGCCUGAUGCAGCAACGCCGUGUGCGGGAUGACGGCCUUCGGGUUGUAAACCGCUUUCGCUCAUGACGAAGCUUUGUGUGACGGUAGUGGGUAAAGAAGCACCGGCUAACUACGUG
rnacentral:rRNA from 1 species